UACAGAGGGUGCGAGCGUUAAUCGGAAUUACUGGGCGUAAAGCGCGCGUAGACGGUUUUGUAAGUCGGAUGUGAAAUCCCCGGGCUCAACCUGGGAACUGCGUUCGAGACUGCAUGGCUAGAGUACGGUAGAGGGAAGCGGAAUUUCCGGUGUAGCGGUGAAAUGCGUAGAUAUCGGAAGGAACACCAGUGGCGAAAGCGGCUUCCUGGACCAGUACUGACGUUCAUGUGCGAAAGCGUGGGGAGCAAACAG
rnacentral:rRNA from 1 species